rnacentral:lncRNA from 1 species
AGUCGAGGAGAGUACCAGCGGCAGGCGGGCAGCGGCCGCCCCUCCCAGCCCACCAGCUGGCCACUAAAAGCUCCCGGUUGCCAAGGACUUCCUUCUUAAGGUUUUGAUCAAGUUAGACGCACUGCUCAGAAGACAAAUGGCAUCACAGGACAGAAGUGUGAGCGAGUAAUUUUGCUGGAUGUCCACGUAUUUCAGUUGAGCCAUUUGAAGACAUUAGGAGUGGGGUUAUUGAAGCCCUCCCUUGCUCUAGGACAAUGCAAGCCUGCCUCUGUGUUCACCACAGUAACAGGGAUUCUAUUUAGUGCUCAAUGCUGAUGAACCAGAAUGGAGGUCUGAGAGUUUGUGUGACAGGUAAGAGAAAAAAAAAAAAGGAAAAAAAAAAAGUGAGUGCAUGGAGGCUGUGAGAAAUGUGGAAGCAAACAGAUUUGUUGGAAAACAAGCUUUAACAUUUGAAGAGGAAGUACCACAUCAAAAACAGGGUAGAAUGGAGAGGCACCUCAUCUCUGAAGACGUGAUUCAAGUUGUUACACUUGCAUAGUGGGAAUGGUACAGGCUAUGCAGGAGACAUGAUUAUAGAGUGGCUUGGAAGAUGAUCUUUUUUAGACAAUCCAGAGCCUGAACCCCUGCUCCCUCCUCUCUGCUGUGUAUGUCAUCUUGGCAGGAGUCUUGGAGCUCCUUCCUACGACUUAACAAGAACUGACUGUGUGCAUCAUCACCCUAACCUCACGCCCCAUGGCAACCC